rnacentral:tRNA from 1 species
GUCAGGGUGGUCGAGUGGUCUAGGGCACUGUGUUCAGGUUACAGUCUCUCCUGGAGAUGUGGAUUCAAAUCCUACCCCUGCCA